UAUAGCUCUCAAUGGCUUGAAGAGGAUCCUAAUCGGGUUGCUCCACAUAGAGAUACCGAGCUCACCAAUGAGAGGAGGAGAUGUCUUAUCAAGCUCUAUCCGGAUCCGCAAGUUCGUAAUAAAGUGAUGGAAGAAUAUGGAUAUUUUUCAUUGAACAUGGGUGAUUACUAAAGACCGGAUGCUUUGGAAAACAAGUUUUAUUUUGAGCCUCUAAUUUGGUGGGCCUCCUAUGGAGCUUCUACACCAAGACUCCAAUCUUUGGCUUUGAGGUUGCUUAAUCAACCUUGUUCAUCUUCUUGUUGCGAAAGGAAUUGGAGUACAUAUAGUUUCAUACAAGGUUUGAAGAGGAACAAGUUGGAACCAAAAAGAGCUCAAGAUUUGGUGUAUGUUCAUACAAAUCUUCGACUUUUGGCAAGGGCCGAGCCUACCUAUUAUAAAGAUAGGGACUCAAUGUGGGAUCUUACGGGAGAUGGUCAUGAGUCUAUGGAACCGGGGAUUAAUGAUGAUGUGCUUGAGCUUGCAGAAUUGUCUCUUGAUGAACCGGCAUUAGAGAGGAUGCUUGUUAAUGAUGAGAUGGACUAUUGAAGGUGAUUAGUAGGUGUUGCAUUGUUGAAGGUGCAAAGUUGUUGCCCAAACGUCCAAACUCCAAAGUUGCUGUCUAUUGUGGCUAUUGCAUAUGUCAUUUAUGAACAUCUCUUCAUUUGCACUUACUAAAUCUAUUUGAAGUUAUUUGAUUGUUAUUUGUAAUGGAUUUAGAACACUAUUUUGUUAAUAAGAUUAUCCUUAUGUCAAA